rnacentral:rRNA from 1 species
AGAGUUUGCUUUUGGCUCAGGAUGAACGCUGGCGGCGUGCCUAAUACAUGCAAGUCGAACGCACAGCGAAAGGUGCUUGCACCUUUCAAGUGAGUGGCGAACGGGUGAGUAACACGUGGAUAACCUACCUCAAGGUUGGGGAUAACAUUUGGAAACAGAUGCUAAUACCGAAUAAAACUUCGUAUCGCAUGAUACAAGGUUAAAAGGCGCUACGGCGUCACCUAGAGAUGGAUCCGCGGUGCAUUAGUUAGUUGGUGGGGUAAAGGCCUACCAAGACAAUGAUGCAUAGCCGAGUUGAGAGACUGAUCGGCCACAUUGGGACUGAGACACGGCCCAAACUCCUACGGGAGGCUGCAGUAGGGAAUCUUCCACAAUGGGCGAAAGCCUGAUGGAGCAACGCCGCGUGUGUGAUGAAGGCUUUCGGGUCGUAAAGCACUGUUGUAUGGGAAGAACAGCUAGAGUAGGGAAUGACUUUAGUUUGACGGUACCAUACCAGAAAGGGACGGCUAAAUACGUGCCAGCAGCCGCGGUAAUACGUAUGUCCCGAGCGUUAUCCGGAUUUAUUGGGCGUAAAGCGAGCGCAGACGGUUGAUUAAGUCUGAUGUGAAAGCCCGGAGCUCAACUCCGGAAAGGCAUUGGAAACUGGUCAACUUGAGUGCAGUAGAGGUAAGUGGAACUCCAUGUGUAGCGGUGGAAUGCGUAGAUAUAUGGAAGAACACCAGCGGCGAAGGCGGCUUACUGGACUGUAACUGACGUUGAGGCUCGAAAGUGUGGGUAGCAAACAGGAUUAGAUACCCUGGUAGUCCACACCGUAAACGAUGAA